CUGACUUGCCAACAAGAGGGUACAUGUUGUUCAUACGAUUCAAUAAGAUCUUUAUCGCAACUCAAAGUUUUGAAUCCGUUUGUAUAGAAUGUAGUUGUUUUUGUAAGAGGUAAUGACAGGGUCUACGUACCACUACAAGAAAAAUGGUCUUUAGCGAUGACCCUGAGUCGUCACUAUAGCCCUUAAAGUGGUCGCUAAAACAUCGUCGUUAAAGACUAAAUAACGACGACUUUUUAUUUCGUCGCUGAUAAUGACUAUUAGCGACAACAAUUGUCGUCGCUAUUAUUACAAAUAAUGGUUGCUAAAAAUGCCUCCCGAGAUACAAUGUCGUCGCUAAUGAUGUACACAUUAGUGACGAUAUUGUGUCGUCGCUAAUGGUACACACAACAGCGACGACAUUGUGUCGUCGCUAAUAGUGCACACAACAGCGACGACAUUGUGUCGUCCUUAAUGGUGCACACAACAACGACGACAUUGUGUCGUCGCUAUUGUGCAUACAAUAAUGUAAAUACAACAGCGACGACAUUGUGUCGUCGCUAAUGUGCACACAACAACGACAACAUUGUGUCGUUGCUAAUGAUAUUUUGCAUAUUAAUUAGCGACUACGUAAGUCAUCACUAAUGAUAAAUAUUUUUUUUAAUAAAAAAAUGUGCCAAUUACAUUUUUUAUUUUUGCCAAUUAAUAUUUUAAUGUUUGCUAUGAAUUAUCUAAAUUGCAUAAAAGAUAACAAACCAAAAAUAGAAUUUUGGUUUGCCCUCGGCUCACAUCUUUAGCAAAGCAUUUAUCUAAAUCUGUUAAAAAAAAACACACACACACACACACGAAAUUACUAAAAUGCAAUCCCAAUUGCCAAAUUGUUUAAGCAUAACAAUCAUCCUCAAAACGAGAUAUGAUAAAACAUUAAGUAUUCAAAAACUGAGUCUUCCUCGUCAGAUUACAUCUAGAACAUUAGGUUCAUCCGAAAAUCUGAUAAAACAUUAAGUGUAUCCAAAAUUUAACUAAUGCAACUAUAAUUUAACAUAAGCCACAUGAGUGCUGACGGUGGUAGAUUCCUUUGACAAAAGAACAAAUAAAUAAUCACUAUUAGCAAACUGAAGCCCAAACAAAAAUAUAACAUUACACUUCAAAUAAAAAUAAAAACUAUAUUUCAGUAAGCAAACAUUGAGAUCCUCCUUCAAAAAUAUAUUGGAACACUAAAGCAUGUUCAGCGCACCAAAUCCAAUAGUUGAAUACUACAGAAUUAAACUACUUAAAGAGCCAUUUUCUAAACUUAUGAAACCAACAGAAAUUCGAAGCGUAAAAGAAUACGCACCUAAGUCAAAUAAUAAACAAAUACAGUUGGAACAAGAAACAAUACAAUUACUAGACCAUAUGCUAAAAUCAACUAGGCCAUUAAUCUCUCAGAGUACAUAAAACAAGGACAUGGAUACAAAACUAUUUUAUGAAGAGCAUAACCGACCAUAAAGUAGAUUUCAAGAAAUAAUGCAUAUGAAGUGAAAACACAAGAUGCUCCAUUUUAAAUACCUUUUAUCUUUUCAUUCAAAUAAAACAUCCAAAUAUACAAGUUAUGCAACUUCAUUCUAAAUAUAAAGUUCAAAUGAAACAUACCAUACUCUAUAGCACAAAAGACGUGAAGUUUUCGAAUCCAAUCUCUUUAACCUUCCCCAUCAAAUUGGGCAAAAUUAUGACAUUGUGCUCCUAUAACAUAUAGAAAAACAAACAAACGUGUCAACUAUCAGAAAUUAGCUGUUGUUGUUCAAUUAAAGCAUAACAAAACAUAUUUGCCACACAACCAUUUUACCUAAAAUACGUGACACUAGAAGAUCAUAUUGGCGCUUUGAUUCUUUCUAAAUCUCCUCAACAUGUCGGUUUGCUUCUUUUUGAAUCUCAUCGAUACGUCGAUUUGAUUCAUUUUGCAUUUCUUCCAUUUGCUCAUCUCUUUUUCUUUCUUUUUCCAAUAAUUGAUCUGACAACUUGGCCACUUCGAGCUUUGUUUCCUUUAACUCAAGGUUGACUUGGGUGCUAUAUCGCGAAUGCGAAGAGGAUGGAGUAGGUAUGACAUAUUUUCCCAUCCCUCUAACAUGGCCAGAACGUUUCCCACCAAGAACUUGUGUAAAUAUUUCAUCUUCAUUUAAGACAACUUCUUCGUCAACCAACAUGUCUUGCAUCAAAUUCUGCACAAGCAACAUAAACUUUAAUUAAAUAAUUUAGGCAAUUCAAUUAUAUAAUGAAAAAGUUAUAUUUCAGUUACUUACGUAUCGUUCUUCACACAGCGGAGUCACAAAUGACCCAUCUUUCUUUCUGUGAGAGGUCUUAUAAAAGUCAAUUACCUUAGGUUCCAUCCCAGUUUGUCUCUUUUGCACGUAAUAGACAUAUGAUUAACAUAUGCUCUAAAUAUAACUAUUAAAAUAAUGUAAUAUUAUAAAAUUAUUACCUUACUAUGGCGAUGACUAAUAAAAGAUCUAGAGCCGGAUGUGUGAUUGGUCUUCAACAUCAAUUUAUUCGCCUUAUUACGUAAGGACUUACGCUUCCAAUCUUUGUUGGCAAAUGAUUCACAUAUCUUAUGCCACGUGGUUUGUGACAUAUUCUUUUGAACUUCUGUCUUCACCAUUGUUAAGUCUGUAUUACCACCGCAUUUUAGGAAUCUUUGAUGAAGACCAUAACGAAGUGUUUUAUAACUAUUUGAUAAGGCCGGCUCCACACUUGCAUUGUGUUCAUUCACAUUCUCAUCUAAAUCCCACUCACUCUGAAACAUAAUAGAUAACAAAACAAUAGUCUUAACGUUUUAUAUUAUAUGUAGUAAUUAACAUAACAUCAAACAAUAAAACUCACCAAAACAAGAUUUCUUAACAGUUGCCGCUCAUUUGGUGGGACACGAGUCCAAGAAUCAUGUCAGAGAUCGGUGUGUUGACAAACAACUAUUGUCACCCUCCUACUAAAUUGACUAGCAUUAUCACCAACAGGUCCUCUUGCCUCAGCAGGAAUUUCUAUUGGAACGGGACCAUGCUCUAUAAGAUUAUUGAACUUAAUGAAUUUAUUCUGACCUCUUUUCUUCUUGUUGGACAUAACAGCUAUGAGGCAAAAUAUGAAAACCUAGUUAGUAAUUUUCGGUGCAAUAGAUUGUUCAAUAACAGAGCUUAUUGCAUAAAUAUUAUAUGUGCACUUACAAGAUGUAUUGGAGGGUCCCUGAGUCAUCAUUUGACAUGGUUGUACAUCAGUUUCAAUAGCCACUUGGGAUCCUAAACUUGUGUCCCCAUCUUUAUCAUUAAGCUGCAUUGGCAUAGAACGAGUUGUGGGCACACAUCGUUUUCAUCCUCAAUUCAUUGUGUAUAACUGAUUUUACAAUAGUAACAAUGGAUAAGAAUAUGUGAAAAAUAUAAACAUACAUUAAUACUCAAAUGAUUUCUAAUGAGGCAAACAAAUCAUAUGCAUAUAUCAUCUUACCAUAUAUCACAAAACAACAAAUAAAUUUCACAAUAGAAUAUAUUCAACACAUAUCAUCUUCAGAGUCUGUAUCAAAGUUGCAAGAUAACUCUUCUUCAUGAGCGGAGUUUGUAUCAUCGUUGCUAGAUACCUCCUCUUCAUCAUCAUUGCUAGAUAACUCUUCUUCAUCAUCAUAGGUUGUUUCAUUCUCCUCAUUAUUGGCCUCAUUGUUGAUUAACAUGCUUCUAUCAACAACUAUUGGUUCCACAUCAUCUUUACGUAACGGAGUUGAGUCUUCAUCGUUUCCUUGUUGCACAGGCGCAUGACCCCCAACACAUUCAUCUUCUUCGUCCUCAUCACCAAAGCCUUCGUCAUCUUCUUCAAUCUCUCCCUCUAGUACAGUUGGAACAUCGUAUAUAUUUCUAUGGGUUACCUUUUGUACUACUUGCCAGCUACUACCCAAUUUGGCAUCUUUUAAGUAAAAUGCUUGUGAAGCUUGACAUGCUAGGAUAAAUGGGUCAAAGGCAUACCAUGUACGCGAUGUAUUCACACUUGUAAAAUACUCAUCUAUUUACAUUCUUGUUUUAUGCCCAAUGUCCCACCAAUCACACUCAAAUAAAUACACACGAUUUUGACCAUAACGUAACACUAGAAUGUUCUUCAACUCACCAUAGAAGUCAAUAUUCUUUAUGCGAUGCUCACGUGGAACAAUUAUACCACUAUUUUGGGUACGUAGAGUUCGUUCAUAGUCUUUUAUGUGAAACCUAACCCCAUUCACAAUACAGCCUUUAAACAUUGCAACUUGAUGAUCCAGUCCGCAUGCAAGAUCAUAUAUUUGUUUAGACACGGUUUCUACAUUAUGCCCACAUAUACGAUGUCGGAACCAGUUUUCGAAUUCGGCUUCAUGCUUACUCUGGAUUUCCACAGUUCCUUCUCCUUCGAUCUUGUCAUAGUAUUCACUACAUAAAGAAUAAUAAUUACUCUACUUUAUUAUCAAGUAGAUUAUGCAUAAGUUAAUAGAACAAUAAAUCAUACACUUACCGAAUGUAUGAAGCAAUUUCGUCACAAUUGUUAAGCACAUACCAUCGAGCCCUUGAGAGAACCAUAUACGAGGCCUCGGGAGAUCCAAACUUUUUACGAUGACUCAUACAAAAAAGAAUGGCACCACAUGAAUGAUGAGGCUACGGAUAAAAUGUUUCUUAACUUUUAAUACUCUGCAAGAGAAGAUGAGGAAAAUAAUGUCGCAGGAGCGUCCAACAAAAUCAACUGUUUAUACACAAGGGUCAAUACAUUGGGCACUGGACGACCCAUGCAUAGAGCCAUACAGGCGAGUCAAGGGCGAUGAAUACUUGGGGCGUGUAUACAGAACGGGGCUUGAGCCUACACCGAGCAGAUCUAGCAGCCGUACAUCCAGGACAUCUACAUUUGCAUCCCAAGAACCUGAACUUGUGAGUCAGGUUAAUCAAUUGCAAGCGCGCGCGAGACGCAGAUGCAAACAAGGCAUCAGGAUCAGCUGGUUUGUAUGCAAACGGAAUAUCAGAAUAUGUUGGCUCAUAAGCAAAUGGGGCACCAGAAUGGGAUGACUGAGAUGCGGAAGAUGCUCAGCUGGGCUAUUAUGGAAGUAGGUGGGAACCCCUUUGCAGCGCAAUGCAGGGAUGUGGCAAACAUUCUAGACACAGAAUCCCUAGCAGUGAGGCCCAAAUCAUCAGUCGGUAGUCACCCAGUUAAUUACUCAUGGUAGGAAGCCCGUUGACGGAGAGAACUGGGAAUUCAUAUGCGUAUAUAUUGUAUUGACUGGAAGUCUGGAACAUUGAUUGUAUUUUUGCGUGUUGAGUCACAUAGACUUUUAUCUUUUUGGUUGGUAACAUUUGGUUAAAGACACAAGGCACGUGUUGCCUGUUGUGAAUUUCAGAUUGUGUACAUUGAUA